AUGUAGUGUGACAUGCCCAUUUGGAUUUAUUACUCUGAUGUGUGUUUAUUUUAUUUAAAUAAAUUAUAUUUGGGAAUGGGGUGUUACAGCUAUG
rfam:Medicago truncatula strain A17 chromosome 8, whole genome shotgun sequence.